CAGUUUGCACUUGACCCGUCAAAUCUAUGGAAAUAAAGUCAAGAAAGGCGUUAGUGCCUACACAAGGUGGAAAGUCCGAUUACUGAAUAUUAAUGUACCAUUCCAACAACAAACACAUCAAAGUCCACCCCUUCGGACACUCUUUUCCCUAGAAUGCACCUCUUCUGUAACGUACAGCCUAAAGAACUUGAGGAAAUGGUUCUGAGAGAACAGGGCAGAGAUUUUGUGAUACUCUGCUGUUGAACUCCUUUAGUAAUACACCCGCAUUAGAAAAUGGGCAAACAAUUUUUCUUAAAACGAGGGGAUGUGUUAUGAGCAUCUGAAAUACCACAUGGAGUGCUGAAGUCAUAGUUUACAUAAGCUGCCCAUCAAUUUCCUGUCUUCAGCAAGAUUAACCUUUGAAAAGGUGAGUUUCUAGCAGCGUCUUUCCAUUUCAGUCAUUCAGGCAACCUUAUUAGCCCUUUCAGUGAGAGUGAAGUGGAGGGCCCUCUGGUCCAAACUUGUUUUGUGAAACAUUGUCCUUUUAUGUUUCCUAUUGAAAGUCGGUGUUUGUAAAUGUUGUCAUUGAAUAGUGUAUUUUGAAUGAGACUUGACUCAUAUUGUAAAGCACGGCUUUCAUAGAUCUGUAGAUAUGAAUAAACCUUAGGGUUUCAAUGUACCAGAGAAAUCAGCUCCUUGUCACUGGAGCCAAGCAAUAAUGUGGUAUAUCAGAGUCCCAGAACCACAGACAGGAUUAUGUCGGGAGCCUAAGGACAGACAGCGUUGGUGGUUUUGAAACAAACUUCCAGUGUGCUCAGUAGAUGCCACGACAUGAGGACCAUGGGCGUGCCAUCUGGUAGGCACCUUGGGAAAAUGAACAAGUGUCCUCACAUCACUCUCCUUUGAGGAAUUAUUAAGAGCACCAAAUAGAGAGGACUGAGAACAAAACAUGACUCAUGGCUGAUUAAUUUAUGCAGAGAACCCAAAGACCUUAUUGAAAUGGCACAGCCUUGGGAAUUCUUUCCUCUGCUGUUCCUAGAUACCCCUACAGUAUGUGUGUACAGACAACGUAUGCCAUCCACGUCAAAUGACCUUUAUUUAUAUAUGUUUUAUUUUUAUUAAUGUAUCUGCAUUUUGAAGCAAGGCCUUACUAUACAGCUCAAUGUAACCUGAAACUUUAUAUAGCCCAGUGUGACAUAAAAUUCACAAGUACUGGCAUGUACCACCACACCUAAAAUCAUUUAGUGUAUCUGGGUAGAAUGCCUUAUGCACUAUUUUCAUACUCUCUGCCCAACAAUUAUGGAUUAGACCACAAAACAGGAGUUACCCUUGAUCCUUUCACCUUGCCCCACACUCACAGGACCUUCAGAACAUGGUAACUGGGAUAUCCUGGCAGACAAUUAAUUGACAGGCUUAAAUAAAGACUCAAGUUUCCUUCCCAAACUGUUGGCCUAUUAAGAAAAUGAAUGGCCAUUUUGCACUGCACACUCAUUUGAAUUACAUAGUCUUUGUACAACCUGGUGGUUAUUUUAUUCAUAUAAUUAUUCAUGUGCUUUUCUUAAGGCGCCUUUGUCUCACUGUGAUAAAAUAUAAAAUUUUGUGCAGUAAUUGCAUGGAGUCACCCACAAUGGGUGGUGCAGUUUGCUGCUUUUGCUGUUGCUAAAGAAUGAAAGGCACAAAUCAAGCUGCCAACCAUAAGUGAGCAAAAGAAGGUUAACAGAGCAAAACAGCAAUUAGCAGAAAAUGAACACAAAUAAGCCUUCCUUCAUCACAGAGGCCCUGGGGCGCACCCUCACUCUCUGCCUGCAAUAGCCAGCAACAGGAAACCAGGCCAGAAGUCCCUACUGUGGCCAAGACUUCUCUUAUAGUUCAUUAGUGAAAAAGAGUUCUAUACGUGAGUAGUAGGGUACAUACAUUCAGGCAAUAUACCCCCCUCCUCCCACAAUAUCACCUCUGUGAUCGAAUCUCUUCAUAGAAAGUGCUAAUAUUCCUCUGUGACAGAUAGUCUCUUCACACAGUGCUAAUAAAGAUAAUAUAAGACCAUGGAUAAAGGCUUAGACUUUUUUAUACACACAUUAAAAACAAAGGAUUAAAGUUAGGAAUGCAAUAAUAUAAACCAAUAUGUAUAAACAAUAUUGUGAGUUUUUGUUUUGUUUGUUUGCUUGCUUAGUUGGUUGGUUGGUUUGGUUUUUCAAGACAUGGUUUCUCUGUGUAGCCCUAGCUGUCCUGGAACUCAUUCUGUAGGCCAAGCUGGCCUCAAACUCAGAGAUCUGCCUGCCUCUGCCUCCCAAGAGCUGGGAUUAAAGGUGUGCCCCACUACUGACUGCCUAUGGUGUAGUUUUAAUAUGCAUUUAAUAUUGAAAUAUGUUCUAAGUCUUUGGAACAUGAGUGUCUUUUAACUCUUUUCAAUUUAGACUUUCUUCCUUGCCAGUGCUCAGCAGCAAAGUGUGGCCAGUGGCUAGUUAUCUGCACUUAUCUCCUCCACUCUCUUCUCUUUUCUUUUCCUUUUAGACACAGGAUCAUGUGGAGGAGAGGCUAGCCUUAAAUUUGCUAUUUAGAUGAAAAUGAUGUUAAACCCUUACUCCUCUUGCCUCCAUCUCUGGAGUUUUAGCUGUAUAGACAUGACCCACCAAGUCCAGUUUAUGUGCUGUUGGUGUUGAAUCUAGGGUUUCAUGCAUGCUAGGCAAGAGCUGAGUCACAUCCAUAGCUGGCACUGUGAAGUUCUUCUGCCGCCCGCCCCCUCUCCCCCCGCCCCGCACCUUUCUAUCUAGAGUUUGGUGUGUUUUUUAAAACACUUAUUAGAUUUUAAAUUAAUUCAUAAUUCUUAUUAAUAUCACAAUGGAGACUGAAAUGUCUCUGGUUUGUAAGCUGUUUUUUAAAUUAAUGGGUUUUUAAAUGUCACUAAAAAAUAUCUGUCAUUUUACUCAGAUUCUAGGACCACGGGGAAAGAAGACAGUUUUUAGCUUAUUAAAUUUGCUUCUAAAUACCUCAGUGUUCAACUGAAGUGCUCAUUUAGGGUAUAUUAUAAUUUCAUACAUAAGAUAACUACAUUGACUGUUAUUUUAGACACCCAAAUGUUUUUAAAUCAUGAAAGGGGUAUUCAUGCUGAUGUUAGCAGGCUGUCAGCAAACCGAAGGCUCAUUCAGAAAAUGUCUAGGUUCCUUUCACAGCCUGCAGUGCUUCUGUGAAAGAAUCUAUUCACUCUACAUGUUUGCCUGUCAUCAGUGGAAUUUUUUAGCCAUUCCUAGGGAAGAUAAUACUCAAUUAUUUUCCAGAGGUACAAUCUAUAUUCCAUUUCUAAUCUGUAAGCUUUUUCU
rnacentral:lncRNA from 1 species